AAAAGUAGUUUUUAAAUGAAUUUUAAAAUAGAACUAAAAUGAAAAAUUCAUAAAGUCCUUCAAAACACCAAUAAAUGGCCAAGAAAAUUAUGGAAGGUUGGAAAUAAAAUAAGAAGCAUGUAAUAAUUUUUCCAAAAUUUUAAAAUUCUGAAAAGUAUUUUUUAAACCAAUUAAAACAAAGGAGAAAAGAGAAAAUUCAUGGAAAAUAGAAAAUCAGUGAAAUAAAAUGUGAAAAAAUAAAAUUCAGAUGAAGAAAUAUAAAAGAGGAUUUUAGAAAUUAUUUUGUGAUUUUUUUGGAUGAAAAAUGAAAUUACUAUGAUUUAAAAAAAAGAAAUUAAAAAUAAUAAAAGAAAAA
rnacentral:lncRNA from 1 species